UACGAAGGGGGCUAGCGUUGCUCGGAAUUACUGGGCGUAAAGGGAGCGUAGGCGGAUAGUUUAGUCAGAGGUGAAAGCCCAGGGCUCAACCUUGGAAUUGCCUUUGAUACUGGCUAUCUUGAGUAUGGGAGAGGUGAGUGGAGCUCCGAGUGUAGAGGUGAAAUUCGUAGAUAUUCGGAAGAACACCAGUGGCGAAGGCGACUCACUGGCCCAUUACUGACGCUGAGGCUCGAAAGCGUGGGGAGCAAACAGG
rnacentral:rRNA from 1 species